CUCUAACCGGUUUGCCAGCUCAGAGCACAUGCGCUCUGAACCAGCAAGAGGACGAAAGAUGGGAAUUAAUAGAAAAAAAACAAAUACAUAUGAGUACAAAGGACAUGGGGAGGGCUGAGUUCAAUGAAAGAGGGGGACAAAUGCCUGGCUCUGCAAAAGAGAAGCUCAAUGCGUCUGUCACCAGCAUGCAGUGCGCGCUGAUGACAGACAUAUUUUUGCACAGAAUUGAUGUGUUGUGUGAUUGGGGGUGCAUAUAGCCCCUGGCAGAUUACCUUUGAUGUGCAGUGUUUCAAGCAGAAAAGUGGCACAUACAGAUUCCUAUCACCAUGACCAUUUCAGAUUAUGAAAUGGUCUUGGAGGUUGAAGUAACU